rnacentral:rRNA from 1 species
UUACGGGAGGCAGCAGUGGGGAAUUUUGGACAAUGGGGGAAACCCUGAUCCAGCCAUGCCGCGUGGGUGAAGAAGGCCUUCGGGUUGUAAAGCCCUUUCGGUGGGGACGAAACGGUACGUGCUAACACCACGUACUAAUGACGGUACCCACAGAAGAAGCACCGGCUAACUACGUGCCAGCAGCCGCGGUAAUACGUAGGGUGCAGGCGUUAAUCGGAAUUACUGGGCGUAAAGCGUGCGCAGGCGGUUUGCUAAGACAGGUGUGAAAUCCCCGGGCUUAACCUGGGAACUGCGCUUGUAACUGGCAAGCUGGAGUGUGGCAGAGGGGGGUGGAAUUCCACGUGUAGCAGUGAAAUGCGUAGAGAUGUGGAGGAACACCGAUGGCGAAGGCAGCCCCCUGGGCUAACACUGACGCUCAUGCACGAAAGCGUGGGGAGCAAACAGGAUUAGAUACCCCGGU